CCCGCCACUGUGCCUGCCUGCGCUCAGCUGUGGCUCGUACAUUCCAGUGGUGAGCUGAGAGGAAUCCUCCCAUUCUAGGAAACAGGGUUAUUCUCUCCGUGGGUAACUCUGUGCCGAGAACUGGGGACACGA